rnacentral:rRNA from 1 species
CAAUAGCGUAUAUUAAAGUUGUUGCGGUUAAAAAGCUCGUAGUUGGAGUUCUGCCAGGUGCCGCCUGUCCGCCCCAGUGGUGAGUACGUGGCGCGCAUUUGGCCCUUUCAAGGGGAGCGUAUCUGCACUUUAUUGUGUGGUGCGGGAUCCUUGGCUUUUACUUUGAGGAAAUAGGAGUGUUCCAAGCAGGCUCUCGUCGUGCACAGCUCAGCAUGGAAUAAUAGCAUUGGACCUCGAUUCUAAGCUGUUGGUUGCCAGAAGCGAGGUAAUGAUGAAGAGGGAUAGUUGGGGGCAUUCGUAUUUAACUGUCAGAGGUGGAAUUCUUGGAUUUGUUAAAGACGGACUACUGCGAAAGCAUCUGCCAUGGAUGUUUUCAUUGA